GGUCUCGUAGCUCAGUUGGUUAGAGCGCAUGCUUCACAUGCAUGAGGUCGAAGGUUCGAGCCCUUUCGAGACCACCA
rnacentral:tRNA from 2 species